rnacentral:rRNA from 1 species
GCGGCGUGCUCCUGCCGUUAAAGACCCAUCUUUAACCAAGGUUGACCUCGGAUCAGGUAGGAAUACCCGCUGAACUUAAGCAUAUCAAUAAGCGGAGGAAAAGAAACCAACAGGGAUUGCCCUAGUAACGGCGAGUGAAGCGGCAACAGCUCAAAUUUGAAAUCUGGCUUCGGCCCGAGUUGUAAUUUGUAGAGGAUGCUUUUGGUGAGGUGCCUUCUGAGUUCCCUGGAACGGGACGCCAGAGAGGGUGAGAGCCCCGUAUAGUCGGCCACCGAUCCUUUGUAAAGCUCCUUCGACGAGUCGAGUAGUUUGGGAAUGCUGCUCAAAAUGGGAGGUAUAUCUCUUCUAAAGCUAAAUAUAGGCCAGAGACCGAUAGCGCACAAGUAGAGUGAUCGAAAGAUGAAAAGCACUUUGAAAAGAGGGUUAAAUAGCACGUGAAAUUGUUGAAAGGGAAGCGCUUGUGACCAGACUUGUGCCGGGCUGAUCAUCCAGUGUUCUCACUGGUGCACUCGACCCGGCUCAGGCCAGCGUCGGUUUUCGCGGGGGGAUAAAAGCUUCGGGAACGUGGCACCUUCGGGUGUGUUAUAGCCCGUUGCUUAAUACCUCCGUGGGGACCGAG